UCCACGUCGUAGCGUUGGUACGUGCUUUGGUGCAGGGCCUCUUCUCGAGCGCUGAUUUCCAGGGUGCUGUUCCAGAUGCCAUAUCCAAAAUAAAUGAGCAGACCUGUGGGGCGAGGGGAAAGGUACAGAUAAGUAAACUGAGACCCAAAGAAGUUAAGUAAAUCUCCCAAAGUCACAAGACAAAGGAGGGGCGGAGCUGUGAUUUGAAGUUGGUGCUGUUUGACUCCAAAGAUGAUGCAACUGAGCUCCAGAUCUGAAGCUGCGUAUUCAAUUAAUGGCAGAGUUUGGGCUAGAACUGAGGUCUCCUGAUAUCCAGCCUUAGCAGCUUUCUAAUUCACUCAUUCAUUUAUCCCAUGCACUGGUAAGGGAUCAUCUCUAUGUAUCUAUAUCAGCUUUUAAGGAUUCAAAGGUGAACAGGAAGAAUACAGUCUCUUUUUUGUGGGCCUUAUAGUAUCAUGGAGGAAACAGACCAGAAAACCAACCAACCAGAAGGACUGUCCAAAAGGAAAGAGGCUAUCAAGAAUUAUGAGAGGGAGUGGAGGCAGGUGUCCAAGAAAACAAUUUGCCAACUUUACAGUUUCAUUCAGGCCUCUGGGAUCAGCAACAACUGGAGUGUUGCUCAGAGGUUCGGUCAGGCUGCCUUAAGUGGGCCAUAGGUUGCUGAUAUCAGGCCCUAUUAGGUAUUUUGUGCAUACUGUGUCUUAUACUUCACACUGGGUAGGCAGGAAGGUUGGGGUGGGCUGAUCUAGCAAAUGGAUGAGGUCAGUGAUUUCUCAUCCAUGAAGUCAAUUCUUCCCAAGUGCCAACUAUCUGCCAUCUCCCAGACACAGGAUGGAAUCAGCCUUUGGGUUACACUGGUGAAAUUCACUACUUAGGCCCAAACAUGUCUUUAAGAAAGUCCUCACCAAAUACAGCAUUUUGCUGAGUUGUUACUUAUUUUCUUCUGAUUUUCUUACUUUUCUUAAAACAUCUCUGUUCCUUUUAUGAAGCCACAGUGGGGCUAAGACAUGCUGUAUAUGUCGCUAUUGUUGCUAGUCCUGCCUAAAUGUAGAUGGGGAGUGGGGUAUGAAGAGAAAUCACAGGACCUCAGAGAGAAAUGAAGUGUGAAUUCUCUCAGAAACAUUUGUUUUCUCUGUGACACUGAGCUCCAUAUGGUGGGUAGUGCAGUGUCCCCAUUAUUGCUGUCUUGAGAAGCAGGUUUCUGGGUCCUGAGAAACAUCUAUCCAGGCCCUGUCAUGUGCUGCUGGACCCAGUGAACCUGCACUGAUGUCCUCUUCCCGAUGCCCUUUGUUAGCCAAGAAAACUGUGGGUUUUUCAGGGAGUGAUUGGUCAGGUGCUCUGUCCCUUCAGCCUCACUGCUACUGUCUCUUCUACUUGAGCAACCUCAGUCACUCUAUCACCUGUCAGGGAAGCCCAGGCAAUUUUUACAAAUGUGUCUGAAGGAAAAGCAAUUUGUCUGGGAAUGCCUAUGUUUCUUUGUGUCUAAGAAGAGACUUAUGAUUUCACUGCCCAAGCAGGCGCCAGGUGGACAGUAACCACCUGUGUUUAGGGGACAGGCAGCAUCAUUAAUCAGGGGUGUAUGACACCAUGUUAUUGAACCUGACAGGGCUCCAAUUAAAGUUGGGUAGGGAAUAGAGAACUCCCAAGUCUGCCAAACCACAGCCCCAAAUAUAUUAACAUAUAAACAGGUAGGAAAUAAGUUGUCCUUUGAGUCAGAGAAGUCACCCCCCAAAACAGGUCAAGGAAGUUUAAUAAUUUGUUGAUUAAAUGUAACCAACUGGCCGGGCACGGUGGCUCACACCUGUAAUCCCAGCACUUUGGGAGGCUGAGGCAGGCAGAUCACCUGAGGUCAGGAGUUCGAGACCAGCCUGACCAACAUGGCAAAACCCCGUCUCUACUAAAAAUACAAAAAUUAGCCUGGUGUGGUGGUGCAUGGUUGUAAUCCCAGCACUUUGGGAGGCCAAGGUGGGUGGAUCACCUGAGGUCAGGAGUUCGAGACCAGCCUGACCAACAUGGAGAAACCUUGUCUCUACGAAAAAUACAAAAUUAGCCGGGGGUGGUGGUGCAUGCCUGUAAUCCCAGCACUUUGGGAGGCUGAGGUGGGUGGAUCACCUGAGGUUGGGAGUUCGAGACCAGCCUGACCAACGUGGCAAAACCCUGUCUCUACUAAAAAUACAAAAUUAGCUGGGCGUGGUGGUGCAUGCCUGUAAUUCCAGCUACUCAGGAGGCUAAGGCAGGAGAAUCACUUGAACCCUGGAGGCGGAGGAUGCAGUGAGCCAAGAUCGCGCCACUGCUCUCCAGCCUGGACAAGAGCAAAACUCUGUCUCAAAAAAAAAAAAAAAAUAAUGUAACUGACCUGCAAGGUGUGGUGACUCACGCCUGUAAUCCCAGCACUUUGGGAGGCUGAGGCAGGCGGAUCACCUGAGGUCAGGAGUUCGAGAUCAGCCUGGCCAACGUGACGAAACCCUGUCUCUACUAAAAAUACAAAAAUUAGCUGGGCGUGUUGGAGGGCACCUGUAAUUCCAGCUGUUCGGGAGGCUGAGACAGCAGAAUUGCUUGAGCCCAGAAGGCGGAGGUUGCAGUGAGCCAAGAUUGUGCCACUGCACUCCAGCCUCAGCGACAGAGCAAGACUCUGUCAAAAAAAAAAAAAAAAAAAAAAAAAAGAAUGUAACCAACCUAUCUGUUUACUCUCUUCUCUAGAUCUCCCUCUAUGAAAAUAUUUUGGAGGUUAUUGAAGGUACGGUCUCUAUAAUAUGAGGAAUUCAAGUAUUAUCUUGUCUGGUCAUGCUGUUGUUAAUAAUCAUCAUCAGCGUACAUUAUUUUACUUGACUGCUUUAUCAAAUGAUAAUGAUGAUGGUAAUUGAUGAUGAUGGUUAUGAUGAUGCUCAUGUGGUUACUUUCAACUAAAGAAUCCACAGAGUUAUCUGUGCCCCAAGCCAAUCUUCUGGCCCAGAUUGGUCCUUCUUCAUUGUUGAAGCGGCAAGUGGGCUGGAACUGUCCUUUUUUCUGCUCCUAACAUUUUUAUGUGGGUGGCUUCAGGUUAUCAUCAAAGGCCACCUUGGAAGGAAAAAGUCACUACAAAAGGGAAAGGUGAAGGCACAUGUUUUCUUGGCAUCUACCUAUGCUAGACUCACUGUACAUGGUUUCACAUUUGAUGCUCAGACAACCUGGGAGAGAAUGCCGAGGCCAGCAUCAGCAGCCCCUUCUUAUUUUAGGAGAGGGAGUGAGGUGUCAUAGAAUUCACACAGCCUCUGGAGAGAGACCCAGAGAGUGGUUAUGACAAUGAAGUAAGAUGUUGCACACAGAUCACUUUGCUCAGUGCCUGGGCAUACUAAGUAAGUGCUUACUAAAGGACAAAUAGGCCGGGUGCAAUGGCUCAUGCUUGUAAUCCCAGCACUUUGGGAGGCUGAGGUGGGUGGAUCACUCGGGAGUUCAAGACCAGCCUGACCAACAUGGAGAAACCCCAUCUCUAACAAAAACACAAAAUUAGCCAGGUGUGGUGGUGCAUGCCUGUAAUCUCAGCUACUUGGCAGGCUGAGGCAGUAGAAUCACUUGAACCUGGGAGGUGGAGAUUGCGGUGAGUCGAGAUCAUGCCAUUGCACUCCAGCCUGGGCAACAAGAGUGAAACUCUGUCUCAAAAAAAAAAGAAAAAAAAAGGAAAAAUAAAAUUAUUGCUAUCUGUGGUCUGGAGCAGGUCACCUAAUUCAUUGACCCUGUUUCCCUACCUGGAAAAUGGUGAUGGUGAUAUCUACUAUGCAGGUUGUUAUGGGUCAUCGAAGGACAGGUGUUACAGUUCCUGACAUAUGUUAGGUACUCCUUCAGUGGGAGCUUAGGGCCAUUAUUCAUUGACGAGGAAGAGGAAUCCCAGAGAGCUUCACUUAGCAGUAGCCUGUGGAGUAUUUAUACAGGAGCCUUUGCCUCAGAGUGGGAUAAAACAGGUUGGAAGCAAAUAUUGUUGGCUGAUAGUUUUAGAGUCUCAGAGUUGGUAGGAAGGUUAGAAAUAAUCCAGAUUCUAGACCAAGCCCUAGGUGUGCUCAAUGCACUUCUAAAACAGAACCUGGAGAAGUUUCUUCCUAGGUUUGAAAUCUUUAAUCUAGAAACUUCUUGUUCUGUUCCACAACUGCAAUGAGAAAUUGUGAGGGUGAAUAGAAGUUUCCCAUUUUCUCACUCAACCUCUCUUUGUGAGACCUACUGACUGUCAUCCAGGGGACUCUUAUAACUGGACUAAAAAGGCUUUGUGCAGAAAAGGAAAGGAGACUUGGAGCUGAAGUGACAACCAACAAUUCUCUCCUACCCGAAUAUUUCUCAACUCAUCACUCUCAGGAAGCAGGCAGUGUCCCAUUUCUAAAGCAGGUGAAAGUGGCACCAACAGAGAUGACAGAUCUCAGAAGAUUCUGUGGGGGAUCAGCCAUACCUCCUGCCCUGAGAAUACAAUGGGCUGGGUUCAAGGUGAGUGCCGAGAGGACCCACCUGAGCCCUCACGUGGCCUCCCCAGCCCAGCUGAGGAGCAGGUGAGAUGGGGGUUCCACUGGGAGGGGACACAUUCUCAGAAGAUGACUAGGGAGGGGGAGCCACAGCUAAUCUUUCAUGGGCUUGCACCUGCUCUCUGUGGGGGGCCUUCCCAAAGACAUGAGAGACCCUUCAUGACAGGGAUGCCAACACACAGGGAGGGGAAGAACAGGGCCAGAGACUCCAGAUUUAGGAGGCUUGCAGGAGAGAAUCUUUUGGUGAGAUGGAUUCGGUUACAGUGCCUACUUCUGGUUCUCCCCCAUCCUGUGAUACAAACUUCUACCACUUUCACCUCCUUCCUUCUCCUCUCCCCUUUUCUACUCCCCCACACCUCAGAACUCUAGGCGGAUUCAGCCUUCUAUAGGGCACAUGUGUACAAUUUGCAUUUUAUGGCGUGAGUGUUCCCACCUGCUGCUGGUCCAUGAGGAUGGAAGGCUGGCAUGCACUGGGUAAACUGUGGCCGCAGUGUCUUCUGUGCACAGCUGACAAAGAGGGGGUUACGGGUUACUGUUCUUCCAAAGAAUCUCACCUACGUGGUCCUGAUGGAUUGUUUCUAGCUAAGUAGCUCCUACUGAAUGCAACAGCAAUAGUGAGUUUUGAGCUAAAUUUUGAACAAGAGAGCUCCAGUGAAUGGAAUAGUGACUCCCUUGGAUACACAGGGGGGCUUCUUGAAAGAGCUUUCCCACCAAGGAAAAUAGCAAGUGCCCUUGGCUGAGCUUAUAGUAUUUUGCCACAUAAGCACUCUCCUAAUUAAAAUAAUCUUAGAAAUGUUUUCAAAGGAGCAGGUGUUUGUAUCUAUGCUUCACAUAUAAGAGAAACUCAUUAUAUUGGUUAUUUUUCUUUAGAAGUCAAAGAAAUGAUAAGCUAGGGCAUUUAUAAACAAACUCUCAAGAGAAAUUAAUAUAGCCAAGGGCUAUUGUUGAAUUUAUUCCAAGUAGGAAAUGUCUAAAGAGUUAAUAAGAUCUACAGAUAUAUUUGUGCAAAUAUGUGUAUAUGCAUAUAUAUGUAAAUGUAUACAUUAUAUAUAUAUUUUCAAUUACUUUGCAAGGGACUUUUCAGGGCCAGGUCUAUGAGAGUGACGAGUGGUUAAGAAUAGUAUAUAAAAUGUCUGUGAUGCAUGUUAGCAAAUAAUUGCUUUUCACAUACAUAUUCAUGACUUUUAACAAGGCACAGGCACAGGUUGUGUCCAGGACAAAUGCAUUCCUUGGGUUGUUAAAUAAAGGAUCCAUUCUCUUGCUUGCUGUUUGCUCUUCUCCAUGCUAAUGCUUCCCUUUGCACUGUGGUGUUGGCCUUCAUCACACCCCAGAAAUUGCCAUCUCUAACCCACAAGCUGUCAACAGAAUGGCCUUUUAUCAGUGUCCCUGCAGCUUGUGAUGCAAACACUCAUUCCCUCUCUGUUCCCUUGUGUAAGAAUCUGUUCUUCGUUUGGUUUCACUCCCUUUCUUCUGCCCACUUCUUUUCUUUCUUCAUCAUUGCUUCUUAUUUAUCCAUCUCCAUCUGUGUGUAGUCAUUUAACAAAGUUCUCCCUUCAGUUCUUUUCUCUCCUUGCACCCCUUGCUUUGGUGAUCUCACCUCCUUGACAGGGCAAGUGUCAGGAGCUCUUUGAUUCCCUGGGGUGGCCAUGGCUCCUUGUCUGCAGCCUCUGUGAACUAGCAACAUGAGGAGUGGGCCAGAGUGUUCAAAGUAGAUGGCCUGGCACAUGCAAAUCUCCUGAGCUGCUGUGAUCAGCGAGUUAGACUCCACUCAGAAAGUCUGCUGUGCAGACCUCUGAGGGCAAGGGCUGGUGCUUGGCGUAACUCCCCUUCACGAGUUUUCAUCAACAUUCCUGUCUCAGGUGUUUAUCCCAUGGCUGUCAGCAGGUACCAUGCCUUACUUAUUUCUGCAUCUCUAGCAUCUAUUUCAAUGCACAAAGUUGAGGCUGCUUAACUAUCAUUUCUUCAGAAAAAGUACUUUGUCGUGAUACCUUGUUUAUUUUCCUUUAUAGCACUCAUCACUGUUUGUAAUUAUUAUACAUAUUUAUUCACUUGUUUUGAGGCACAGCCUAUUAACAAUGUGUUUUAAGGCAUAGUCUUGUUAAAGGAGGCUGUUCCUGUAGAGAAGAUAAUUCUUCUUGGGCAUAUACUUUCAGAGUCAAAAGCAUGCUCUUUGCACAGGGUUCAUCUGGAGGAAAGUGAGUAGGAGGCAAGUCUACCCAUUUUUUUGCUAGCGGUGGACUGAGGAGCUUCAGCAUUGGAACCAGGACUACUCAUUUGCAUUAAGAACCUAGUCUUGUUAGGCUGGAAACUGGCCAAUACUCUUGGUAGUGGUGAUAAUAAUACAAACAUUACUGAGCAUUUACUAUGUGCAUGGGCAUAUUAAGCACUUUACAUACAAAAACUUAAUCUUCACAAGAUGGUUAUGAUGCAGAAACUGUUAAAAUUUCCAUUUGCAGAUGAUGAAUCCAAGAUCUCAACAGGUUAUCAGGACUUCUCAACAUUUUCCAUAUCACAUAACCCACCUUGAAAAUAAUAUUUGGGCUAAGCACGGUGGCUCAUCCCUGUAAUCCCAGCACUUUGGGAGGCCGAGGCAGGUGGAUCACCUGAGGUCAGGAGUUCUAGACCAGCCUGGCCAACACGGCGUAACCCCAUCCCUACUAAAAAUACAAAAAGUAUCCAUGCAUGGUGGUAUGUGCCUCUAAUCCUAGCUACCCAGGAGGCUGAGGCAGGAGAAUCACUGGAACCUGGGAGGCAGAGGCUGCAGUGAGCUGAGAUCAUGCCACUGCACUCCAUCCUGGGCGACAGAGUGAGACUCUGUCCCCCACCCCCACAAAAAAAAUAUAUGUAUAUAUAUAUAUUAUGGAUAUGGAAAGGAUGUAAUGUAUAAAAGGGCGAGGCUGCUCACUAGCCUGGGGCCUAUAUCACUUUCCAGGUGUCCUAAAGCUGAAGGAUCCAUAUCUUGGCACACCUCUAACUUUCAGCAACCUGUUUGGAAAGCUCUAGGGUUAAAGGUAUUUCCCAAGUCAUACAAGGAGAAAAUGACAAAGCAGGGCUUGAACUGAGGCAGUUCAGCUACAGGGACUAAUUGCACCUGGCUCCCAGAUGCUAGCUGGGGUUAGGACGUGUGUUGGGGUUGGGGGGGAGUUGAGACAAUAGGCCCUUCUUUACAAAUCUUUCCCCUCUCUGGGUUGUUUUUCAUGCAAACUAAUGAGACAGGCAAUCUAAUUCAAACUCUUCAUUUUUCAGAGGAGGAAACCGAGAUCAGGACAUGUGAAUGACUUGCCUGAGGGCCCUGGACUGCUGAGAGUGAGAGGUGGAAUUAGACCUCAGGUGUCCCGACUUCUGACGCAGGCCUGAUUGUCUCUUGCAGCACUCACAAUUAUUUCACGUGUGCACGUCUUGUUUCUUCAUAUUGAUAUCAAGCCCUUUGUCUCAGAGUUCUUUCCCAUGUUCUGCAGCAUCUCCUGCUAUGCUGGGCCCAGAGAAGGUGGUCAGUCCCUCCCACAGCCAUGCUAGGUGCUCAUGGCAUGCACUGUCCACACUACUAGGUGCUGCAGAAGAUGUAAAAGAAGCCCAGGUUUUCCUGGCUUUGCUGGAGGAAACUCAUUAUCACCAUCAGCAAUUUAAGAAACUUGCAAAUUUCUAUUAAAAUGUGUUCACCUUCUCUGAAUUGGUAACUGACAUCCUUCCUACAGGGCUGUCAAUUGAUCCCUAUAUAGAAGAGCUACAUGAACUUUACAACACCUUUCUCCUCACUGCUGACAGGUGACAGAAAGAUGCUGAGCUUACAAGUCAUCUUCAUGACCUGACUUAGAGAAGUUUUGAUCUGGAAAAGUGCUCUACUAGUCAAUAGGGUGAGGUACAGGGUCUUUUGAAACCCCAAUAAAAGUGAGCGUUCCUUGAUU